rnacentral:rRNA from 1 species
AUGAUGAAGACUGUCAGGAUUGAAGAUAUAGAUAGCAUGCAAGAUGAGAUGAUGGAUCUUAUGGAUGUGAGCAAUGAAAUACAAGAAACUCUUUGUAGAAGCUACAAUGUUCCAGAUGACAUCGAUGAGGAGGAACUUAUGGGGGAGCUUGAUGCUUUGGAAGCUGAUAUGGACUUCGAAUCAAAUUCAGUCCCAUCGUACCUCCAACCAGACAAGGAGACAGAUCUUGAUUCUGAGCUUAACUUACCUGCUGCACCAAGUGGUCAUGCAGCAAUCCCGGCAAACCGGCAGCAGGAGGAUGAACUUGGACUGCCUACGGUGCCGCACGCAUCAAUUUGUACCUGA